CUUAAGCCCGCUUGGGAUCUAGCUAGUUCCUGUUCAAGAGUAUCUACUGGUGUCCCCGAACAAAGUCCGAAGUCCUUAACCCGGUGUUGGGAUUACAGGCAUGCCUCACCACUGGGGACAUAGUCCAAGGCUUUGUGCAUACUAGGCAAGCAGUCUAACUGAGCUACAGCUCUACCCCCGUCCAGAGAUGCUGAGCAGACUUGAUAUAGACCCCAAUGGAGUAAGAGGCCCUGACCUUUCUCUGGUAAGAUAAGACCAUGUGGAAAUACUUAGAUUUAUAGAAAUGGGUUAAUGAUUAAGAAUAAGAAAUCUUAG